rnacentral:rRNA from 1 species
UACGGAGGGGGCGAGCGUUAUUCGGAAUUAUUGGGCGUAAAGGGCGCGUAGGCGGCUGUACAAGUCAAAGGUGAAAUCCCUCGGCUCAACUGAGGAACUGCCCUUGAAACUGUACGGCUUGAGGCCGGGAGGGGGUAGCGGAAUUCCCAGUGUAGCGGUGAAAUGCGUAGAUAUUGGGAGGAACACCAGUGGCGAAGGCGGCUACCUGGACCGGUUCUGACGCUGAUGCGCGAAAGCGUGGGUAGCAAACAGG